GGAAGACAUGGACAGUUUGAGAGACUCCCUGUACCCAGUGUGUCACAUACAGCAGUCCGAUACACAAGCUAGAAGAUCACACUAUAGUGGUACUGGUCCGAAGAGAGCAACAGGUGAAGUGAGGGUCACCUAACGCUCUUUUGACAACAGUGGGUUGUGAUUGGUUCUGAGGAAAUAUCACAGCUCUGAGGUUUGUUCAGGAAAAGCAAGUCGCUAGCCAGGUGCUGUGGGAUUUUGUGCUAAACUCUCUCUCCCUUCCUGUGUUACAUGUUCUCUUUCUCUCUCUCUCUCUCUCUCUCUCUCUCUCUCUCUCUCUCUCUCUCUCUCUGUCUCUCUGUCUCUCUGUCUCUCUGUCUCUCUCUGUCUCUGUCUCUCUGUCUCUCUCUCUCUCUCUCUCUCUCUCUCUCUCUCUCUGUCUCUCUCUGUCGUUCACUACAUCCCUGUACAACGGUUUGUGGUAAAGGUUCAUCCAGGGAGAGUGGUGUGAAACGAUCCAAGGGAAUCAAUGUGGGGGCUAUAUACAGGGGGUACCGGUACAGAGUCAAUGUGGAAACUAUAUACAGGGGGUACUGGUACAGAGUCAAUGUGGAGGCUAUAUACAGGGAGUACCGGUACAGAGUCAAUGUGGAAACUAUAUACAGGGGGUACCGGUACAGAGUCAAUGUGGAGGCUAUAUACAGGGUGUUAUGGUACAGAGUCAAUGUGGAGGCUAUAUACAGGGGGUACCGGUACAGAGUCAACGGCUUGGGGUUAGAAGCUGUUAAGAAGCCUCUUGGACCUAGACUUGGCGCUCCGGUACCGCUUGCUAUGCGGUAGCAGAGAGAACAGUCUAUGACAAGGGUGGCUGGAGUCUUUGUCAAUCUUUAGGGCCUUCCUCUGACACCGCCUGGUGUAGAGGUCCUGGAUGGCAGGAAGCUUGGCCCCAGUGAUGUACUGGGCCGUUCGCACUACCCUCUGUAGCGCCUUGCGGUCGGAGGCCGAGCAGUUUCCAUAGCAAGCAGUGAUGCAACCAGUCAGGAUGCUCUCGAUGGUGCAGCUGUAGAACCUUUUGAGGAUCUGAGGGCAAAUGCCAAAUCUUUUCAGUCUCCUGAGGGGGAAUAGGCUUUGUCGUGCCCUCUUCACGACUGUCUUGGUGUGUUUGGACCAUGUUAGUUUGUUGGUGAUGUGGACACCAAGGAACUUGAAGCUCUCAACCUGCUCCACUACAGCCCCGUCGAUGAGAAUGGGGUGGUGCUUGGUCCUCUUUUUCCUGUAGUUCACAAUCAUCUCCUUCGUUUUGAUCACGUUGAGGGAGAGGUUGUUGUCCUUGCACCACACGGCCAGGUCUCUGACCUCCUCCCUAUAGGCUGUCUCGUCAUUGUCGGUGAUCAGGAUCACUGUUGUGUCGUCUGCAAACUUAAUGAUGGUGGUGGAGUCGUGCCUGGCCAUGCAGUCAUGAGUGAACAGGGAGUACAGGAGGGGACUGAGCACGCACCACUGAGGGGCCCCUGUAUUGAGGAUCAGAGUGGCAGAUGUGUUGUUGCCUACUCUUACCACCUGGGGGCGGCCCGUCAGGAAGUCCACGAUCCAGUUGCAGAGGGAGGUGUUUAGUCCCAGGGCCCUUAGCUUAGUGAUGAGCUUUGAGGGCACUAUGGUGUUGAACGCUGAGCUGUAGUCAAUGAAUAACAUUCUCACAUAGGUGUUCCUUUUGUCCAGGUGGGAAAGAACAGUGUGGAGUGCAAUAGAGAUUGCAUCAUCUGUGGAUCUGUUGGGGCGGUAUGCAAAUUGGAGAGGGUCUAGGGUUUCUGGGAUAAUGGUGUUGAUGUGAGCCAUGACCAGCCUUUCAAAGCACUUCAUGACUACGGACGUGAGUGCUACGGGUCGGUAGUCAUUUAGGCAGGUUACCUAAGUGUUCUUGGGCACAGGGACUAUGGUGGUCCGCUUAAAACAUGUUGGUAUUACAGACUCAGACAGGUAGAGGUUGAGAAUGUCAGUGAAGACACUUGCCAGUUGGUCCGCGCAUGCUCGGAGUACACGUCCUGGUAAUCCGUCUGGCCCUGCGGCCUUGUGAAUGUUGACCUGUUUAAAGGUUUUACUCACAUCGGCUACGGAGAGCGUGAUCACACAGUCGUCCGGGACAUUGAGAUCAUCGCUAAUGAUCUCAGUGAUCACUGUCCUACUGCAUGUAUUAGAGAUACCAAACAGAUUAACAGUGAUCCUAGGGCUGGGCGAUAUAUCAAAUUCAUUCAAAUUAAUGUUUUGGAUCUAUAUUCCCAAUGCCUGUUUCGCAAGAAUCAAGGUUUUGUUUAUUUUUUGUUUUUUUUAUGUACAUUUGUCCGCUUGUUCUCAUGUUGUCUUUUUGGUCUCGUCUCUUUCGCUCCUUCUGCUGUGACUGUGCCCCUUCCAAUUUACACACACACACCAAGCCCAAGCGGUCCUGUUCUGUGAGCUUGUGUGGCCUACCACUUCACGGCUGAGCCGUUGUUGCUCCUAGACGUUUCCACUUCACAAUAACAGCACUUACAGUUGACCGGGGCAGCUCUAGCAGGGCAGAAAUUUGACGAACUGACUUGUUGGAAAGGUGGCAUCCUAUGACGGUGCCACGUUGAAAGUCACUGAGCUCUUCAGUAAGGCCAUUUUAUUGCCGAUGUUUGUCUAUGGAGAUUGCAUAGCUGUGUGCUCGAUUUUAUACACCUUUCAGCAACAGGUGUGGCUGAAAUAGCCGAAUCCACUAAAUUGAAGGAGUGUCCACAUACUUUUGUAUUACUGACUUUUCUUCUAUCAGCUGCAAGCCUGGCCCUAAAUUGGCUCCAGAAUCAUAAUUCUCAUUAAUUUCUUUCUGGCAGAAAAACACGCUCCCUUUAAACCCGCGUAGAACAAAAAAUAGAACAUCCGUGGUUCUCUACAGAACUUUCAAAUGUUGUUAUGAUGAGAAAUCAGGCCUGGGUCAAGGCUAGAAAAACUGACUCUGUGGCUGAUUGGCAGCUAUUCAGGCAAUUGAGAAAUAGAUUCACUUCCUCAUUCAAGAAAGCUAAAUUUAGCUACUUUCUAAGCUCUGUCUCAGACUCUGCCGGUUUUUGGAAAAUAGUUUAAUGUACUGAAGUGUUGAAAUUCCUGCCUAAGCAAGUUGUCAGACUCUGGGAUAUUUACUGAGAAAAAUGUGAUAAAAUGCCAAUUAAAAGCAUCAUUUAUCUCAGCAGGCUUUUUAUUUGAAAGAAAUGGUGGUUUAAUUUCCGCUGCUCAGCCAGUCGACUACCUUUCCCAGGCUCUAGUUGUAUCGAUGGAAGCUCCAUUAACUUCUAGUGAAGCUUUGUCUUUAUUUCAAUAUCUUUCUACUUUCUACUGAUUGUGGCUAAAUUCCUUGCUUACAAUUGUUGUAAAAGAAAAAGCAGCUCUGGCUGAUUUGCUUGAUCCUUUCUUGCUGCAGCUUUCUGCUCCUCUACUCUACUGAAUAUUUAACACAUUUUUAACCUUAACAAUUAUUUCUGCUACCAUCCACAGUGUCUGGAAGAAGGUCCAUAUACUCCCCCUUACACAAAGGCGGUGACCCAUGUGAAUGAAAUAACUAUCGCCCCAUUUGUAAACUCUCUUGCCUAGCAAAAAUUAUAGGUUUUAUUAUAUUAUGUAGAUUAUAUGGCUCAGUUUAUAUAUAUAUGUGGCUCAGUUUAUAUAUAUAUAUAUAUGUGGCUCAGUUGGUAGAGCAUGGUGUUUGCAACGCCAGGGUUGUGGGUUCGAUUCCCACGGGGGACCAGUACGGAGAAAAAAAAUGUAUGAAAUGUUUGCAUUCACAACUGUAAGUCGCUCUGGAUAAGAGCGUCUGCUAAAAUGACAAAAAUGUAAUGUAAAAUGUAAAUUUAUUGGUAAAUACUCAACUUAGAUCAUUUUAAACUAUGAAAUGUAUUCUAAAUGUACACCACUUAGGCUUCAGACCAGGUCAUAGCACCAUCUGUUAUUUAUUUUGUUUUAAAUGAUGUUGUAAAUUGUUUGGAUAAGAAGAAACACUGUGCUAACCUUUUACUUUAUUGACCUGUCUGUCACGUCCUGACCAGUAAUAGGGGUUAUUUGUUAUUGUAGUUUGGUCAGGACGUGGCAGAGGGGUGUUUGUUUUAUGUGGUUCGGGGUGGUAGUUUGUUUAGUAGGGUAUUUGAUUUAUGUAUUCCGGGGGUUUUUGGGCACUGUUCUAUGUUAGUGUAUUUCUAUGUACUGUCUAGUCUUUUGUAUUUCUAUGUUUUGUUAAUUGGGGUUGGACUCUCAAUUGGAGGCAGGUGUUUUCUAGUUGCCUCUGAUUGAGAGUCCUAUAUAUAGGUAUGUGUUUGUUGAGUGCUUGGUGGGAGAUUGUUCUGUGUAUAGCCUUGUGCCUUACCAGCAUGUGAUUAGUCGUUGUGUUUUCUUUGUGUACGUGUUUGUUUUGGUUCUCCUUCUUGUCCGAAUAUAAUAAAGAAGAUGAGCGCACAUUUCCCCGCUGCAUUUUGGUCUAAAUCCGACAACAACCGUUACACUGUAAAUUGUUUGGAUAAGAAGAAACACUGUGCUAACCUUUUACUUUAUUGACCUGUCUAAAGCCUUCGACAUUGAGGAUCACACAUUACUUAUUCAGAGGCUUUCAUUAAUUGGUCUGUACCAG
rnacentral:lncRNA from 1 species